AUUGAACGCUGGCGGCAUGCCUUACGCAUGCAAGUCGAACGGCAGCACGGGGCAACCUGGUGGCGAGUGGCGAACGGGUGAGUAAUGCAUCGGAACGUGCCAUUGAGUGGGGGAUAACGUAGCGAAAGUUGCGCUAAUACCGCAUAUUCUGUGAGCAGGAAAGCAGGGGACCGCAAGGCCUUGCGCUCUUUGAGCGGCCGAUGUCAGAUUAGCUAGUUGGUGAGGUAACGGCUUACCAAGGCGACGAUCUGUAGCGGGUCUGAGAGGAUGAUCCGCCACACUGGAACUGAGACACGGUCCAGACUCCUACGGGAGGCAGCAGUGGGGAAUUUUGGACAAUGGGCGCAAGCCUGAUCUAGCCAUGCCGCGUGAGUGAAGAAGGCCUCGGUUGUAAG
rnacentral:rRNA from 1 species